rnacentral:rRNA from 1 species
GACGAACGCUGGCGGCAUGCCUAACACAUGCAAGUCGAACGAAACCUUCGGGUCUAUGGUCGUACGACUGCGUCACGCGUGGGGACAUGCCCUUGUGGUCGGCCUAACUACCCGAAAGGGGUACCAAUGGCAAAUAGUGGCUUCGAACCAAUGACUUAUCGACCUUGGUUGUGCCGUCGUUGGAUUAGCUAGUUGGUACGGUAAAAGCUUACCAAGGCGACGAUCAAUAACUUGUCUGAGAGGAUGAUCAGCAACACUGGGAGUGAGACGCGGCCCAGACUCUUACGCGAGGGAGCAGAGGGUAAUAUUGCAACGCGGGCGAAAGGCUGAAGCAGCAAGGCUGCGUGAACGAUGAAGGCCUGAGGGUUGUAAAGCUCUAGUACCUGUGAUGAUAAUGACAGUACCUGGAGAAUAAGCCCCGGCUAACUCCGUG